rnacentral:miRNA from 1 species
CACUGAAAAUGCUUAGAUG